CCAAAAAGUAGACCCUCAAAUCCUUCGGGGAAAGAGGCAGAACAUAAAGCACUCAAAGUCAUUGAAAAUGUUUAUUAAGGAUUUAAGUGCACCAGACAUCAUACUAGGUCCUGAGGAGACAAAAAUAUGUAAGACAGUCCCUUCCCUCAGGACACAGUUUAGUGGGAAGCACAGACAGGUAAUCAUCUUCAUGAAAACAUGCUUUGGUAACAGCUACAAUAGAAAGAAAAACAAACUGGAACCGAGCAAAGCCAGAGAUUCAUUUUGCCUGUGGAAGCCAGACAAAGGUUUAAUUAACUAGGCUCGAGAGUUGAAGAUGGCUUCAAAGAAAACAGGAAGUUUAGAUGGGGUGUACAAAGAUGAAUAGGAAUUGUCCACAAUUUUUUUAAAUUAAAAUAAAAAGAAGGGGAAAUUACUUGUAAGAACUGGAAAACCUCUAAACUUCUUUAAAAUAAAAAACAAUAUGGUUAUGAUAUGCAGAUGGAAAAUAAGCGCUGAUAAAGAUGUUCACCUUUAUUAGCCACCAGAGAAACGCAAAUUAAAACCACACCUAUUAGAAUGACUAAAACAAAAAAUAAUGACAGCAUGGAAUGCUGGUUAGGAUGCAGAUAAAGUGGAUCUCUCUACAUUGCUGAUGAGAAUGUAAAAUAGUACAGCAGCUUUGGAAAACAAUUUGGUAGUUUUUUAUAAAAUUAAAUAUGUGAUUUCCAUAUGAUACAACCCAGCAAAUUUCACUCUUAGACAUUUACACCAGAAAAAUGGAAAUUUAUGUUCCUGCAAAAACCUGUUUCAAUGUUCAUAGCAGUGUACUUGCAAUAGCCAAAACCUGGAAUCAGUCCAGAUGUCUUUCAAAUGGCAAAUGCUUAAACAAACUGUGAUAUAUUCAUAUCAUGGAAUUAAUACAUCAUGCAAUAAAAAGGAGUGAACUGUUGAUAAACACAAUAACUUGGUUGACUAUGCAGAAAAUUAUAUUGAGUAAAAAAAAAACCAACCACUAAAGGUUACAAUUGUAUGAUUCUAUUUAUAUAGCAUUUUUAAAAUGACAACAUUUUAGAGAUAGAGGAAAGAAGACGGGUUGCUAGAAGUUAGCAGUGGGGGAGAGGUCCUUGUGGUGAUGAAACUGUUCUGUAUCAUGUGGUUCGGGGUGCGGAAUUGAUAACAUAGAUAGAAAUACACACAUACACACAAAUGAGUGCAAGUAAAAUUAGGAAAAUAUGAAUAAUUUGAAUUAUUCAAAUAAGGAUCAUGUCAAUGGUGGAUUUGAUCAAUGUCAAUAUUCUGGUUGUGAUAUUCUACCAUAGUUUUACAAAAUAUUACCAUUAGAUGAAACUGGUUAGAGUGUACAAUAAAUCCUUUGUAUUAUAUCUUACAACAGCGUAAAAAUCAACAAUAAAAACAUUAAAAAUUUCAACUAAAUGAACACUAUAGUUUUUUAUUAUAAAUUUCCCAAGGUUUCAUUUAACCUAAUUUAGGAAUACUUUUAAUUCUAUUUAUUCUACAAGGAUUUAUUGAGCCUAUGACUGCAAUUGCAACUUGCAAUUGCAACUUGAUAGGUGCCCUUAACUAAUUCCUAUCCUGUGUGAGCUUAUCCCAGCUGAGGUCAUUUCCUCCUUCCUUUGACCUCCACCACACAAUGCAUUCCAGCUCUGUUAUAAUAAUGAACACUAAUUGUGAUCCCUUUUCUUCACAUAGUACAGCAAACUGACACGUUUCUCCCACCUCCUGGGCACAAAAUUGGCCCAUGUUCCCCAGUCUCCAGCUUUCACAGCAGUUAUGUAUGACUUUGUGACCAAGUUCUGGGUAAUAGAAGGUGCGCAGAAGGGAUGUGUAUCACUCUCUGUCCUUACCCAUGAACUCCUCUGGUGCAAUUCUCCACACUCUCUCUUCUAAUUGGAUGCAAAGAUCCAGCAGAAGACCCCACAGAUCUAGGAGAAAGCAAGCCAACAAUGGGAGAAACUCAAGCCUCUGAAUGACAACAUAGAAGGCCACUCACAAUCCACAGGUCUUUUUUUUUUUUUAACACCUAUUAUGCCAUGAAUUCAUAGAGAAGAGGUUCCAGCAGCUCAGGCUCCUCCCCAUGGGUUCUCACAAAGUGCACUUCUCUGGAUGGAGCAGGCUGGGGCUUCAGUUGAACACAGAAACUCCACAGGUGACUUGAAGGGAAGUGAGAGUUAAGAAGCAGAGACCGAGGUUGAAGUUGGCUCCAAGCACAUCUCUGUCUCCGUCUGCAAGGCAAGGCCAGGCAGAAAUGGAAAAAGAAAGGAAGAUGGUUGAAGAGAAAGGGAAGUUUCUUUGACCCUAUGAUGGGGUGGACAUUCUGCCAGGACUCAACACGAAGGCAUGCUAAAUAAGGGAUAUCCUUCUGUGCAAAGUUCCUUCACAAACCGCCAGUCAACAUCUGGGAGAUGUCUUUGGCCACAUGCUAAAAUGGGGAUUUUGUGACUAAUCUGGACUAUAAAGUUAAAAUGUGGAAAAGGACCAAUAGAUUUUAAACCCACUUGAGAGAGGUCAUGGAGCCUCAUUCCAUAAGGCAGGGGGUAACAGGGAUCUUUCCUUAAUAGACUUUGCUGCUGAACCUGUUGGCCAUUUUAGUGACUGGAUUCAGAAAGCUGAAGCAGGCACCAGGAAAAAGGGUCACAGAACUGAUGAGAUUUAAUCAGUUCUACAGCCAGAUUCCCAGGGAAAUGAGACAACUUGCAAAAGAUCUGAACCUACAGACUAUUCCUCAGACUGCUAAAUUGACUAUUCUCUGGAGAUGAGACAACAAGAGACACCGUUGCUCGAAAACGGGAGAUUAUGAGCUUUCUGAAAAAGGCAAAGUAGGGAAAAAAAUCCGUUAGGGAAAAUUCUGAAUAAAGCACAUUACUUUACUGAACAAAAGGGCCUAACUGCAGAUCAUCUCACAAAGACACCUCAAAAACGUUGAACAAGGCUUCAGGAGGCAUCUGAAUGUCCUGGAGAGACUACACAGAAAUUUUUUUAAUGCCUAAAAUAGUGGGCCUAUAAAACAGCAGGAAUGAUUUGCAACAACCACUUUAGACACCUCCACUAGAUGUACCCUUCAUCCCCAUCCCCAAUCCCUGCCCAUAAACAUCCCUGGUUGCACCACAUUCUAGGGACCACACAUCUUUCUUCUUGACUGCUGCCUCCUGGUCAACCUGGAUUAUGUAGACAAG
rnacentral:lncRNA from 10 species